AACGGCGAGUGAAGCGGCAAGAGCUCAAAUUUGAAAUCUGGUCCCCUCGGGGCCCGAGUUGUAAUUUGCAGAGGAUGCUUCGGGUUCGGCCCCGGUCUAAGUCCCCUGGAACGGGGCGUCAUGGAGGGUGAGAAUCCCGUCUGGGAUCGACGGCCGGACCCGUGUGAAGCUCCUUCGACGAGUCGAGUUGUUUGGGAAUGCAGCUCCAAAUGGGUGGUAAAUUUCAUCUAAAGCUAAAUACUGGUCGGAGACCGAUAGCGCACAAGUAGAGUGAUCGAAAGAUGAAAAGCACUUUGAAAAGAGAGUUAAACAGCAUGUGAAAUUGUUGAAAGGGAAGCGCUUGCGACCAGACUCGCCCGCGGGGGCUCAGCCGGCAUUCUUGCCGGUGCACUCCCCCGCGGUCGGGCCAGCGUCGGUUUGGGCGGUCGGUCAAAGGUCCCCGGAAUGUGUCGCCCCUCGGGGCGUCUUAUAGCCGGGGGCGCAAUGCGGCCUGCCCGGACCGAGGAACGCGCUCCGGCACGGACGCUGGCGUAAUGGUCGUAAGCGGCCCGUCUUGAAACACGGACCAAGGAGUCUAACAUCUACGCGAGUGUUCGGGUGUCAAACCCGUCCGCGCAGUGAAAGCGAACGGAGGUGGGAGCCCUUAAGGGUGCACCAUCGACCGAUCCGGAAGUCUUCGGAUGGAUUUGAGUAGGAGCGUAGCUGUUGGGACCCGAAAGAUGGUGAACUAUGCCUGAAUAGGGUGAAGCCAGAGGAAACUCUGGUGGAGGCUCGCUCCGGUUCUGACCUGCAAUUCUAUCGUUUAAUUU
rnacentral:rRNA from 1 species